rnacentral:ncRNA from 4 species
AGUGCAAUGUUAAAAGGGCAUU